rnacentral:rRNA from 1 species
GUCGAGAAUCUUUCACAAUGGGGGCAACCCUGAUGGAGCGACGCCGCGUGGAGGAUAAGGUCUUCGGAUUGUAAACUCCUGUCAUGCGUGAACAAGGUUGCUUGGUUAAUACCUGGGCAAAUUGAUGGUAACGCAAGAGGAAGAGACGGCUAACUCUGUGCCAGCAGCCGCGGUAAUACAGAGGUCUCAAGCGUUGUUCGGAAUCACUGGGCGUAAAGGGUGCGUAGGUGGCGUGGCAAGUCAGAUGUGAAAGCCCGGGGCUCAACCGCGGAACUGCAUCCGAUACUGCCAUGCUAGAGUACUGGAGGGGUGACUAGAAUUCUCGGUGUAGCAGUGAAAUGCGUAGAUAUCGAGAGGAAUACCAAAGGCGUAGGCAGGUCACUGGACAGUUACUGACACUGAGGCACGAAGGCCAGGGGAGCGAACGGGAUUAGAUACCCCGGUAGUCC